rnacentral:rRNA from 1 species
AUGAAUAAUGGAACACUUCUGCCCUUUUUUCAGCCGACAAAGGGAUUGCGCCAAGGGUGUCCCAUGUCCCCCUUUCUAUUCCUUAUUUGCGCAGACAGUUUCACUUCGUUAAUGAACAAUUUUGGUGGCCCUCAUAUUGAUCGUGGGAGUAUACGCUCACCGUGGGUUAACCACCUAUUGUUCGCGGACGACAGUCUCAUCUUUUUUGGCGCUAAUCUUGAUAGCGCGCGAAGGUUGAAUGAGAUCCUCCGGAUCUAUGGUCAGUGCUUCGGGCAAGCAGUGAACAAAGCCAAAAGCUCAAUCUAUUUCAGCCCGAAUGCACAACACCCUGUUCGUGAAAUAGUAAAGCAAGAACUGGGAAUUCUUUCUGAAGCUUUCACGGAAAGAUAUUUGGCUCUACCAACUGCGGUAGGACGUAUAACCAGCGGCUCCUUCGACCACAUUGGAGAAAGAAGCCGCGCCAGUAUGCAAGGCUGGUCAAAGCGCUUCCUUGCAUGUGCGGGACGAGAGGUAUUGCUGAAGUCAGUUAUUUAA